GGAGCCCAGGCCCGCCUGUUAGGGGAUGGAAGAAAUAUCACGAACUAUGUGUAGCCUGGGUUAGUACCACCUCGCUUGCGGGAGGGGGCCACGGCCCCCUUAUAAGGGCGAGCUUCAUUCCUCUCUCAACCCGGGUUUUGAGAUGUGAGUGUGGAGCUCGCUGCUGAAGGCCGACCCACGAGCGCAUAAACGCCUGAGACUGACCCAGGUACGCUAACAAAUGGUAACGGAGCUCAGGCCCGCCUGUUUAGGGGAUGGAAUGUCACGAACUAUGUGUAGCCUGGGUUAGUACCACCUCGCUUGCGGGAGGGGGUCGUGGCCGGCUUAUAAGGGCGAGCUUCAUUCCUCUCUCAACCCGGGUUUUGAGAUGUGAGUGUGGAGCUCGCUGCUGAAGGCCGACCCACGAGCGCAUAAACGCCUGAGACUGGCCCAGGUUGUCGGCGUUUCGAGACAGGGGGGUCCCUAAGCCGACGAGUGAGUGUGCUGCGUGCCCCAGCCCAGAUGGGUCGAGCGCGUGGGCGAGCGCGAAGGGGGGAGAGGCGAGGUGGCCGGAGCCGAGCGUGAGAGAGGUGGAAGUUCCGCGGCCUUCGUGUUCGUCCCGCGCCCAGGUCAGGUGCGCUUGCAGUAGGGGGGUUACAAGCGUCCACGCGGGUGAGGGAAGCGAGCGGCCCCAAGAGAGCGCCUGUCCCGUCCUCGGUCCCGCGCGGCCAACCUUCUCUAAGAAGGCCCUGGUCCUCCCUUUUAUAGUCGUAAGGAGAGGAUCCAGGUGUACAAUGGGGGGUGUAGCAGAGUGCUACGUGUCUAGCGGAGGGAGAGCUAGCGCCCUAGGUACAUGCCAAUGUGGCAGCCGGAGAGAUCUGGGCACCCUGCUGGCGUGAUGUCGUGGCUGUCGGAGGUGCGGCGGAGCCUGGUGGAGGGACAGCUGUUGGAGCGGUCGAAUCCCUGCUGACGUCGUCCUGCUUUCGUAAGAGAGCUGGGGGCCGCCGUCGUCAUAGAGCUUGUGGAGCGCCAUCAUUGCCCUCCGGCGGAGCUGGCCGGAUGGGACGCCGGUCUUGUUCUUCGUGACCCGAGUCGAUUCGGGGUAGGAUGAUGAUGGCGCUUCCUGUCGACGUGGCGGUCUGUGCCCUAGGCAGGGCGACGUGGGGGUUCCUCCGAAGCCGAGGUUGAGUCUGCCUUCCGUUGCCGUGGCCGAGCCCGAGCCAUGGGGUCGGGCGAGGCGGAAGUCGUUCGGCCGAGGCCAGGGCGGAGUCCGAGCCCUGGGGUCGGGCGAGGCGGAAGUCGUUCGGCCGAGGCCAGGGCGGAGUCCGAGCCCUGGGGUCGGGCGAGGCGGAAGUUGUUCGGCCGAGGCCAGGGCGGAGUCCGAGCCCUGGGGUCGGGCGAGGCGGAGUUUCGUCGUCUUCCGGGUCUUAGCCCGAGUCCGAGCCCUGGGGUCGGGCGAAGCGGAGUUUCGUCGUCUUCCGGGUCUUAGCCCGAGUCCGAGCCCUGGGGUCGGGCGGAGCGGAGUUUCGUCGUCUUCCGGGUCUUAGCCCGAGUCCGAGCCCUGGGGUCGGGCGGAGCGGAGUUCGCCGUCUUCCGGGUCUUAGCCCGAGUCCGAGCCCUGGGGUCGGGCGGAGCGGAGUUUCGUCGUCUUCCGGGUCUUAGCCCGAGUCCGAGCCCUGGGGUCGGGCGGGGCGGAGUUCGCCGUCUUCCGGGUCUUAGCCCGAGUCCGAGCCCUGGGGUCGGGCGGGGCGGAGUUCGCCGUGGCGCCUUUGGCAAGGCCUACUGCCUGUCAGACUCACUCUGUCGAGUGGCACUGCAGUCGGAGUGGCGCAGGCGGCGCUGUCCUUCUGUCAGACUGGCCAGUGGAGAGGUAGAGUGACGGCGGUCACCUCGGCUCUGCCGGGGGCGCGUGUCAGGAUAGAGGUGUCAGGCCACCUUUGCGUUAAAUGCCCCUGCAAUUUGGUCAGUCGGUGUGGUGAUUUAGUCAAGGUUGCUUCUGAGCGAAGCCAAGGCCUUGGGCGAGCCGGUGAUGUGUCCGCCAUAAAAAGGGGGCCUCGGGCGAGACGGAAGUCUCUCGAGGUCGGCUGCCUUUGGCCGAGGCUAGGCUCGGGUGAAGCGUGAUCGAGUCACUCGUGUGGACUGAUCCCUGACUUAAUCGUACCCAUCAGGCCUUUGCAGCUUUAUGCUGAUGGGGGUUACCAGCUGAGAAUUAGGCGCCUUGAGGGUACCCCUAAUUAUGGUCCCCGACAGUAGCCCCCGAGCCUCGAAGGGAGUGUUAGCACUCGCUUGGAGGCUUUUGUCGCACUUUUUUGCAAGGGGACCAGCCUUUCUCGGUUGCAUUUCGUUCCGGUGGGUGCGCGCGAGCGCACCCGCCGGGUGUAGCCCCCGAGGCCUCGGAGGAGUGGUUACACUCCUUCGAGGUCUUAAUACUUCGCUUAACGCUUCGGCUGGUCUGGUCGUUCCCUCAUGCGAACUGGCCGUAGCCCGGGUGCACGGUCGGGGCCCAAGCUCUCGGGCUGGUAUGUUGACGCUGUCAACGAUUUGGCCGGAGCCGGUUUUUGCGAGAGCAGCCCCCGAGCCUCUGCACAGGGCGAGAGGACGAUCAGGGACAGACUCGGCUUUUUACAUACGCCCCUACAUCGCCUUUCCGCAAGGAGGAGGGGGGAGUGCGCCAUGUUACCCUCGAUGGGCACCGAACAUGGUGUCUCCGGUGAGCUGCAAGCGGGUAAUCCGAGUGGACGUCCGUGCCCCGUUCGUUGGGGGUCGGCUAGGGGCCCAGAGGCACGCCCAAAAGUACCUGCGGGUGAUUUGCCGGACCUGGUCCCCUGGCGACGGGGUCCGAGGGCUCGAUGCCUCCCUCCGAUGGGAUUCCGUUACAAGAUCGUUCCCGCUGGUCUCGGAAAUGUCCUAGGGUACCUCGGGAGCGCAGCCCGAGCCUCGGUUAUGUAUCGAACGUACCCCUGGUCAUCCCUCGCUCGGCGUCUGAGGCGACUGUGAACCCUUCGGGGGCCAGCCUUCGAACCCCUGAUCAGUAAUGGGCACGGAGCCCGAGUAGCCUGAGGCGGCCAUGGAACCCUUCGGGGGGCUGGCCUUCGAACCCCUGACCAGUAGUGGGUGUCGGGCCCACGCGAUCUGAGGCGGCUGUUGAACCCUUCGGAGGGCCAGCCUUCGAACCCCUGAUCAGUAGUGGGGGGCUCGGAGCCCGGUUCCUUCGCGGAGAAGGAUCCCUUUCGGGGUAUCCCCCUUUCCCGGUCCCUGUUGCAAGAGAUAGAGAAAGAGGAAAACGGCAAAGGAUACGAAAUCGGACGACGUGGCGUACCUUUUCUGAAGCGGUUAUUACGGCGAAGGUGAAGCGUCGCGCGCUCCUCCUGCCAGAAGCGCCGCGUGUCCCGCCGCGGAGUUAAUGCGACUGGGCGAGUGGUUGGCGGGGCGGCCGUUACGCGCGUGCGAUCCGUUCGAGGAACGGGUCACGGGUGCACCGUCUCCACGCCGUGAGAGGAGGCUCUCUUGCUGUCCCAGGAUGGGACGUGAGCCUGGCUGACGACGUGACCGCUGCGCCCGCCCGCCUGCCACCGCUAUUACUGCCGGCCCUCUUUCGGUCGCUUUGACCGACGCGCCAGGCUGGCGCUGUUGGGUCGCCUCGAGUCGCGGCAUUGGCUCCGCAACCGAAGAGGCGCGAUGGUGGCACAAGUGGCGGUGCGGUUGCUUGCAUGCAGCAACUGGCGCGCCGGUUGCUCGACGCGUGGGCCUGGGUUCCCAAGCUGGCGUGUCAGAAGUUGGAGAAGCGCGUCCAUCUGGCGCGGUUGCAUGCCGCCUGCAUGGCUGCCCGCCCCUUCUGCCCGUUGGUCUGGGCGGAAAUGGGGGGUCGCUUGUAACCGCUGGACGGUCGUGCGCACCACGCGCGGCGGUUCGGCUUCUUCUGCCCUGAGCCGACUUGCAUGACAUGCGGGACCCAGCCCCCGAGUCGCAGGGGAGGGCCUUGGAGCGUGUUGGAGAAGACUCGGCCCGCGGCGCCUGGGGGCGCACGUAGGGGGAGUUGCCUUUAAAAGGAGGGAGGCUCCUUUCGUAAGGCAACCAUGUCUUCUUCCUCCCUUAAGCGUCGGGUCUUCCCGUCUUCCAAGCCCCCGGAUGGGGGGUAUCCGCCGCCUUUCCGCCUCCUCGUUGGAGGAACGCAACUCCAUGGGAGUUGGUACCUCUCAGCCGUCGUUCGGCUUCAAGGAUUUUCAUUACGCAGCCUGGCCACGCUCCGCCACCGGUGGCCACCCAAGAUGGUGACCUCUAGUUCGACGGUGGGGAAAGCGGGCCAGGCCGCGGCCUCUACUCCUCCCUCGGCCUCAAGGAUUUUCGUCAUCCAGGCCAAGAUGGAAGAUGAGGCGAGUCGGGGGGCCGCCCCCGCGUGGGUCGGCUGCCCUUUUCUUCCCCCCGCGCCCGGGGGUGAAGGGCGUCCUUGAGCCCCACGGAGACUUCCUCCAGCCAUGCCGGGAUAUGUAGGGCGCUAGUGGCCCUGGAUCUCCGUCUCCCUGCCUGAAUGGCUGGUUCUCGUCCUCAGCGGGGGGAGUCCUCCUGCCGUGACACCUGCCCCAAAGCUGCUGCCUAAGCCGCUUCGCUGUCUAGGGCAGGGGUGGUUGUCGUCGCGGUUGGAACGGGCGGCAGUGAGCCGCUCAUCGUUCUUCAGUUACUCCGCAGGCCUUCCCCCUCGGAGGGGGGUUGUUCGUACCUGCGGAGGUGGGAACCGGAGUUCCGUUGGUAGUGGCAUCUCGAAUGCCAGUGUUUUUCGUUCAUUGUGGCUGUCGGGGCCUGAACAUGUAUGUAAUUUCGGCACGGAGCCGUGUUUUUUCCUCAUUUUCGAGCACUAAGUCUCGCCUGUUGAUUAUCUGAACCGCUUUACCAAGCAUGAGUCGCCCCGUGUCAAGGUGACGGGUGAGGUAUCCGUAUCCCGGAGGCGUAGGAAUCCCUCGGCCCGUUCGGCCUUGUUGUCUGGGGUUCCUCUAGCUUAGUUAAAGAGACCCCUCGGCCGCCCUUCGGUGGACCGAGGCCAGGGGUAGCGAUAUCAGUAUGAACAGAGGCGGAGUUGGCUCGAGAAUGGGAACCUGGUUGGCCGGAGCCUAGUCGUGUUGUCCGUCAGCGGAGCCGACGCCAAAGUCGAUCAGUCGAGGCCUCGGGUCGGGCUGGCGCCCUUGGAAGCCGGUUGACCGAGGCCCCAGGGGUAACCGGUUGAGCCGCCUGCUCGGGCCGGAUUCCCGGAGGAGCCCCUGGACCGCGGCGCCGCCCGAGGCUGGGUCGGGCUUUGCUGAAGACGUCGUCGAUGCCGAGGGUGCUACGGCUCCCUUCAGCGUGAAGACCUGAGCCUGCAGGAUCAGAUCAUCUUGUAGCGUGUGCUUUCUGCGGCCACCGAGGCCAGAAGAACACGCCCUCGCCGCGCUCGCGAAGCUGCGUCUUUUUUCCUCUUGUUUCGAGCAUCUGGACUCUGUCGGUAACAGGGAUGUUUGUGUGAGCGAGAGUUGCUUUUCGCGGAAGGGACGAGUGAGGUAUCCGUAUCCCCGAGGCGUGGGAAUCCCUCGGCUCGGUCGGCCUUGCCGCUUACGCGUACUUUCACCCGUCCAUGAGGCCCUGUCCCCGACUUAGUCGAGAAGGCUUGAAGGACUGCUUCGGCAGGAGAGCUUCCGAACGUGAAGACUUGUUCGGUCCACGGAAUCGCUUUAUCCGAGCGCAAGUUACUUAUCGCAGAAGGUGAUGAGUGAGGUAUCCGUAUCCCGGAGGCGUAGGAGUCCCUCGGCUCGGUCAGCCUUGGCUGCUUACGUGUACUCCGUCGUUUCCAGGAUCCGCUUUCCGAAGUAGUCAAGAGGCACGAAAGAAAUCCUGCUAAAAAGAGAUCCUUUUUCGAGGAAAAAUUCGACGCAGAGGGGGUCUCCCCCCUUUAGCCCCCGAGGGAGGGUCGGGCUUCGCCGAGGCUAAGCCGACCCUUCCUUGACGACUAAACUUUGCGUAGGUGCGAGGUAUAUGAACAACUUGAAAACAUCUUAAGGGUAGAAGCGACGUAGCUGUUUGAUGUUCCAAGCGUUGCCGUAGAUCUCGCCUUGAUUGCUGGCCAGCUUGUAUGUUCCGGGCUUCAGAACUUUGGCGAUGACGAAUGGCCCUUCCCAGGGGGGCGUGAGCUUGUGCCUCCCUUGGGCGUCUUGUCGCAGCCGAAGCACCAGGUCGCCCACCUGGAGUUCUCGGGACCGGACCCCUCGGGCGUGGUAGCGUCGCAGGGACUGUUGGUACCGCGCCGAGUGUAGCAAGGCCCUGUCCCGAGCUUCCUCCAGCUGGUCCAGCGAUUCCUCUCGGCUGGCUUGGUUGCUUUGUUCGGUGUAGGCCCUCGCCCUCGGGGAGCCGUAUUCCAGGUCAGUGGGCAAGACAGCUUCAGCCCCGUAGACCAGGAAAAACGGCGUGAAGCCCGUGGCACGACUCGGCGUCGUCCUUAGGCUCCAGACCACCGAGGGGAGUUCCUUCAUCCAUCGCCUGCCGAACUUGUUGAGGUCGUUGUAGAUCCGAGGCUUGAGCCCUUGUAGAAUCAUGCCGUUGGCACGCUCUACCUGCCCAUUCGACAUGGGAUGAGCCACGGCGGCCCAGUCCACCCGGAUAUGGUGAUCUUCGCAAAAAUCCAAGAAUUUUUUGUCGGUGAACUGGGUGCCGUUGUCGGUGAUGAUGGAGUUCGGGACUCCGAAGCGAUGGAUGAUGUUGGUGAAGAAUGCCACCGCCUGCUCGGACCCGAUGCUGUUCAGAGGUCGGACCUCGAUCCACUUGGAGAAUUUGUCGAUGGCGACCAGCAGGUGCGUGUAGCCCCCGGGCGCCUUCUGCAAGGGACCGACGAGGUCCAGACCCCAUACAGCGAAGGGCCAGGUGAUGGGUAUUGUCUGCAGAGCCUGAGCGGGCAGGUGUGUCCGCUUCGCAUAGAAUUGGCACCCUUCGCAGGUGCGGACAAUUCUAGUGGCGUCAGCCACCGCCGUUGGCCAGUAGAAGCCUUGCCGGAAAGCAUUUCCAACAAGGGCUCGGGGUGCUGCGUGGUGGCCGCAAGCCCCCGAGUGUACUUCUUGCAGCAGUUCCCGACCUUCGGCGAUGGAGAUGCAUCGCUGGAGGAUGCCCGAGGGGCUGCGAUGGUAGAGCUCCUCUUCGUCGCCCAGCAAGACGAAUGACUUGGCGCGUCGCGCUACCCGCCGAGCCUCGACUUGGUCGAGGGGUAGCUCUCCUCGACGGAGAUAUUGCAGGUACGGGGCCUGCCAAUCCUGGUCUGGCGCGGCCCCGCUCUGCCCUUCCUCGACGUUCAAUGCCCCGCCCUCGGGGGCUGAGGGUACCUCGGGCUGGGCCGAGGGUGCCUCGGGCUGAACCGAGGGUACCUCGGGCUGAGCCGAGGGUACCUCGGGCUGAGCCGAGGGUACCUCGGGCUGAGCCGAGGGUACCUCAGGCUCGGGCGCGUCGUCGAGCUUGACGGAGGGUUGAUGCAGAUCCCGGGAGAAGACGUCCGGGGGAACUGUCGUUCGCCCCGAGGCUAUCUUAGCCAGCUCGUCUGCGGUUUCGUUGUAGCGCCGAGCGAUGUGGUUGAGCUCGAGCCCGAAGAACUUGUCUUCCAGGCGCCGAACCUCGUCGCAGUAGGCCUCCAUCUUCGGGUCGCGGCAGUGGGAGUUCUUCAUGACUUGGUCGAUGACGAGCUGCGAAUCACCGCGGGCGUCGAGGCGUCUGACCCCUAGCUCGAUGGCGAUCCGCAAUCCGUUGACCAAAGCUUCGUACUCGGCCACAUUGUUGGACGCCGGGAAGUGGAGGCGCAGCACGUAGCGCAAGUGCUUUCCGAGGGGCGAGAUGAAGAGCAGGCCCGCGCCGGCCCCCGUCUUCAUCAGCGACCCGUCGAAAAACAUGGUCCAGAGCUCCGGUUGGAUCGGAGUCGUUGGCAGUUGGGUGUCGACCCAUUCGGCCACGAAAUCCGCCAACACUUAGGACUUGAUGGCCUUCCGAGGGGCGAACGAGAUCGUUUCGCCCAUGAUCUCCACCGCCCACUUUGCGAUCCUGCCCGAGGCCUCUCGGCACUGGAUGAUCUCCCCCAGGGGGAAGGAUGACACCACAGUUACCGGAUGGGACUCGAAGUAGUGUCGUAGCUUCCGCCUUGUCAGGAUCACAGCAUACAGCAGCUUUUGAACUUGUGGGUAGCGGAUCUUAGUCUCGGACAGCACUUCGCUGAUGAAGUAGACCGGCCUCUGAACGGGCAAUGUAUGCCCUUCCUCUUGCCUUUCGACCACAAUCGCGGCGCUAACCACUUGAGUGGUCGCGGCGACGUGGACCAAGAGGGUUUCUCCGUCCGCCGGCGGCACCAAGACUGGCGCCUUUGUAAGGAGCGCCUUCAGGUUGCCGAGGGCUUCCUCGGCCUCGGGGGUCCAAGCGAAACACUCGGCCUUCCUUAAGAGGAGGUACAGAGGCAGACCUCUUUCGCCGAGGCGUGAGAUGAAGCGGCUCAGGGCCGCGAGGCAUCCCAUGACCCCCUGUACCCCUUUUAAGUCCUUGAUGGGUCCCAUGCUGGUGAUGGCCGCAAUCUUCUCCGGGUUGGCUUCGAUGCCUCGCUCGGAGACGAUGAACCCUAGGAGCAUGCCUCGGGGCACCCCGAAGACACACUUCUCAGGAUUAAGCUUGACUCCUUUCGCCUUGAGACACUGGAAUGUCACUUCAAGGUCGGAGAGGAGGUCGGAAGCCUUCCGUGUCUUGACUACGAUGUCAUCGACGUAGGCCUCGACUGUGCGACCGAUGUGUUCGCCGAACACAUGGUUCAUGCACCGCUGGUACGUCGCGCCCGCAUUCCUCAAGCCGAACGGCAUGGUGACAUAGCAGUACAUGCCGAACGGUGUGAUGAAAGAAGUCGCGAGCUGGUCGGACUCUUUCAUCCGAAUCUGGUGAUACCCCGAGUAGGCAUCGAGGAAGGACAGGGUUUCGCACCCAGCAGUGGAAUCCACGAUUUGGUCGAUGCGAGGCAGAGGGUAGGGAACCUUCGGACAUGCUUUGUUGAGACCAGUGUAGUCUACACACAUCCGCCAUUUCCCCCCUUUCUUCCUCACAAGCACAGGGUUGGCAAGCCAUUCAGGAUGGAAUACCUCUUUGAUGAACCCCGCCGCCAUUAGCUUGUGGAUCUCUUCGCCAAUCGCUCUGCGCUUCUCCUCGUCGAAUCGGCGCAGAGGCUGCCUGACGGGUCGGGCUCCGGCCCGAAUAUCCAGCGAGUGCUCGGCGACAUCCCUCGGUACGUCGGGCAUGUCCGAGGGACUCCACGCAAAGACGUCGGCGUUUGCGCGGAGAAAGUCGACGAGCACUGCUUCCUAUUUGGGGUCGAGCCCGGAACCGAUCCGGAUCUGCUUGGUGGUGUCGCCACUGGGGUCGAGGGGGACGGCCUUGACCAUCUCCGCUGGCUCGAAGUUGCCGGCAUGGCGCUUCACGUCUGGGACCUCCUUGGAGAGGUUCUCCAGGUCGGCGAUGAGGGCCUCGGACUCGGCGAGGGCCUCGGCGCACUCCACGCACUCCACGUCGCAUUCGAACGCGUGUUUGUACGUGGGGCCGACGGUGAUGACCCCGUUGGGGCCCGGCAUCUUGAGCUUCAGGUAGGUGUAGUUGGGGACGGCCAUGAACUUCGCGUAGCAUGGCCUCCCUAGCACGGCGUGGUAGGUUCCUCGGAACCCGACCACUUCGAACGUCAGGGUCUCCCUUCGGAAGUUGGAGGGUGUUCCGAAGCAGACUGGGAGGUCGAGUCGCCCGAGGGGCUGGACGCGCUUCCCAGGGAUGAUCCCGUGGAAGGGCGCAGCGCCUGCUCGGACGGAGGACGGAUCGACGCGCAGAAGCUUGAGGGUCUCGGCGUAGAUGAUGUUGAGGCAGCUGCCCCCGUCCAUCAGGACCUUGGUGAGCCUGACAUCGCCGACAACGGGGUCGACGACGAGCGGGUAUUUCCCCGGGCUCGGCACAUGGUCGGGGUGGUCGGCCCGGUCGAAAGUGAUGGGCUUGUCGGACCAGUCUAGGUAGACUGGCGCCGCCACCUUCACCGAGCAGACCUCCCAGCGCUCUUGCUUGUGGUGCCGAGCCGAGGUAUUCGCCGCAUGCCCUCCAUAGAUCAUGAAGCAGUCGCGGACCUCGGGGAACCCCCCUGCUGGGUGAUCUUCGUUCUUGUCGUCGUCGUGGGCCCUGCCACCCUCGGCGGGUGGCCCGGCCCUGUGGAAGUGACGCCGAAGCAUAACGCACUCCUCGAGGGUGUGCUUGACGGGCCCCUGAUGGUAGGGGCACGGCUCCUUGAGCAUCUUGUCGAAGAGGUUCGCACCUCCGGGGGGCUUCCGAGGGUUCUUAUACUCGGCGGCGGCGACAAGGUCCGCGUCGGCGGCGUCGCGUUUCGAUUGCGACUUCUUCUUGCCUUUCUUCUUGGCGCCGCGCGGAGCAGACGCCUCGGGAGCUCCUUCCGAUGGGCGGCCCUGGGGCUGCUUGUCCUUUCGGAAGAUAGCCUCGACCGCCUCCUGGCCGGAGGCGAACUUGGUGGCGAUGUCCAUCAGCUUGCUCGCCCUGGUGGGGGUUUUGCGACCCAGCUUGCUCACCAGGUCGCAGCAAGUGGUGCCGUCGAGGAACGCGCCGAUGACAUCCGAGUCGGUGAUGUUGGGCAGCUCGGUGCGCUGCUUAGAGAAUCGCCGGAUGUAGUCCCGGAGCGACUCCCCCGGCUGUUGCCGGCAGCUUCGAAGGUCCCAGGAAUUCCCGGGGCGCACGUAUGUGCCCUGGAAAUUGCCAGCGAAGGCUUGGACCAAGUCGUCCCAGUUGGAAAUCUGCCCCGGAGGCAGGUGCUCCAACCAGGCGCGAGCAGUGUCGGAGAGGAACAGGGGGAGGUUGCGGAUGAUGAGGUUGUCGUCGUCCGUUCCACCCAGUUGGCAGGCAAGGCGGUAGUCCGCGAGCCACAGUUCCGGUCUCGUUUCCCCCGAGUACUUUGUGAUAGUAGUCGGGGGUCGGAACCGGGUCGGGAAUGGCGCCCGUCGGAUGGCCCGACUGAAGGCCUGCGGACCGGGUGGUUCGGGCGAGGGACUCCGAUCCUCCCCGCUGUCGUAGCGCCCCCCCACGCCUGGGGUGGUAGCCUCGGCGCACCCUUUCGUCGAGGUGAGCCCGACGGUCGCGUCGAUGGUGCUCGUUGCCGAGGUGGCCCGGGGCCGCAGGCGCGGUGUUGCGCGUGCGCCCGGUGUAGACCGAGGCUUCCCGCAUGAAUCGGGAAGUCGCGGCAUGAGGUUCCGAGGGAUAUCCUUGCCUCCGGGAUGCAGUGCUCUCGGCCCGCCGGGCCGCAGCGCCUUCCAGGAGAUUCUUGAGUUCUCCCUGGAUUCGCCGACCCUCGGUGGUUGACGGCUCCGGCAUCGCGCGGAUGAGCAUCGCUGCGGUUGCCAGGUUCUGACCGACCCCGCUGGAUGCGGGCGGCGGCCUGAUCCUGACAUCGUUGGCGACGCGGUGCUGGAGACCUUGGGGCAGAUGACGUAUUUCUCCGGCCAGGGGUUGGCCCACCCAUGCCUGUCCGACGUCCCGACGGAUCGGCUCAAGCGCUCCUGUUCCCUCGUUGAGCCUGGCCUGCGCCUCGCGGACUUGCUCGAGUUGUGGGUCGUAACCCCCCGCCGGAGCGGGGACCACAACUAGCUCCCGUGGGAUGUCGGCGCGAGGCACCGGCCUGGGGAGAUCACCAUCCUCCGGCAUGCCAAGAUGGUUGCCUUCGGUGGGAUCCCCUAGCUCGAUGUGGAAACAUUCGCGGCUUGGGCCGCAGCUCUCGUCGCCAAGGCUGCGGCUUCCAUCGGAACAGUCGGAUAGACAGUAGUCACAUGCGGUCAUGAAGUCCCGCACGGCACUGGGGUUGCCAAGUCCGGAGAAAUCCCAACCGAUGCUGGGAUCGUCAUCUUCCUCGGACCCAGAGGGCCCGUAGGUCGAGACGUCCGUCAGUCGGUCCCAAGGCGACCGCAUACAGAACCUCAGUGGGGUUGCACUCGCCUCAAUGAGAGCGCCCGCCAAAACGAGGUCGUUUGGCGGGUUGAGGCCGAGUCGAAAUGACGCAAGAUGGGAGUUAGUCGUUACCUUUCGGUCGACGAGGAGCGACGUAGUCACAUCGGGGACUGGUUGCGCCGUCAUCUCUGGUUCGAGGGCGACGUCCUGCAGGCUUUCCGCGAGCGCGCCGGCGUCGUCUUCUUGCUCAAGGUCAGCGUGCCGCGGGGGGACGGCGCUCGCCUCCGUCUCGAACGCGAGGUCGACGUCCGGCGUGCCUUCCGUCGGGGCGUCGGGGGCGUCGAUUCGCUCGACGGCCGACGAAGCGCGGCCUCCCGUCUGGCCUUGACGGCUCCGCCUCCUCCUCCGUUGGCGGGGGAGAGAACGGAGCGAGCCCGAAUAUUGCUCUUCCACCACGCGGGGAAGACGUCGUCGAUUCCGCCGCCGGCGGGCGGGUUGUCGGCCGCCAUUGUCGUAGUCGCGCGGCGGUGGAAGAAGUGUCAUGUCGUAGCUGCCGUCGAAGGACAUGAACUCGAGAGUCCCGAAACGAAGCACCGUCCCGGGCCGGAGAGGUUGCUGGAGACUGCCCAUCUGGAGCUUGACGGGGAGCUGUUCGUCAGCACGCAGCCGUGCCCCUACCUGGCGCGCCAACUGUCGGCGUUUCGAGACAGGGGGGUCCCUAAGCCGACGAGUGAGUGUGCUGCGUGCCCCAGCCCAGAUGGGUCGAGCGCGUGGGCGAGCGCGAAGGGGGGAGAGGCGAGGUGGCCGGAGCCGAGCGUGAGAGAGGUGGAAGUCCCGCGGCCUUCGUGUUCGUCCCGCGCCCAGGUCAGGUGCGCUUGCAGUAGGGGGGUUACAAGCGUCCACGCGGGUGAGGGAAGCGAGCGGCCCCAAGAGAGCGCCUGUCCCGUCCUCGGUCCCGCGCGGCCAACCUUCUCUAAGAAGGCCCUGGUCCUCCCUUUUAUAGUCGUAAGGAGAGGAUCCAGGUGUACAAUGGGGGGUGUAGCAGAGUGCUACGUGUCUAGCGGAGGGAGAGCUAGCGCCCUAGGUACAUGCCAAUGUGGCAGCCGGAGAGAUCUAGGCACCCUGCUGGCGUGAUGUCGUGGCUGUCGGAGGUGCGGCGGAGCCUGGUGGAGGGACAGCUGUUGGAGCGGUCGAAUCCCUGCUGACGUCGUCCUGCUUUCGUAAGAGAGCUGGGGGCCGCCGUCGUCAUAGAGCUUGUGGAGCGCCAUCAUUGCCCUCCGGCGGAGCGGGCCGGAUGGGACGCCGGUCUUGUUCUUCGUGACCCGAGUCGAUUCGGGGUAGGAUGAUGAUGGCGCUUCCUGUCGACGUGGCGGUCUGUGCCCUAGGCAGGGCGACGUGGGGGUUCCUCCGAAGCCGAGGUUGAGUCUGCCUUCCGUUGCCGUGGCCGAGCCCGAGCCAUGGGGUCGGGCGAGGCGGAAGUCGUUCGGCCGAGGCCAGGGCGGAGUCCGAGCCCUGGGGUCGGGCGAGGCGGAAGUCGUUCGGCCGAGGCCAGGGCGGAGUCCGAGCCCUGGGGUCGGGCGAGGCGGAAGUCGUUCGGCCGAGGCCAGGGCGGAGUCCGAGCCCUGGGGUCGGGCGAGGCGGAAGUUGUUCGGCCGAGGCCAGGGCGGAGUCCGAGCCCUGGGGUCGGGCGAGGCGGAGUUUCGUCGUCUUCCGGGUCUUAGCCCGAGUCCGAGCCCUGGGGUCGGGCGAAGCGGAGUUUCGUCGUCUUCCGGGUCUUAGCCCGAGUCCGAGCCCUGGGGUCGGGCGGAGCGGAGUUUCGUCGUCUUCCGGGUCUUAGCCCGAGUCCGAGCCCUGGGGUCGGGCGGAGCGGAGUUCGCCGUCUUCCGGGUCUUAGCCCGAGUCCGAGCCCUGGGGUCGGGCGGAGCGGAGUUUCGUCGUCUUCCGGGUCUUAGCCCGAGUCCGAGCCCUGGGGUCGGGCGGGGCGGAGUUCGCCGUCUUCCGGGUCUUAGCCCGAGUCCGAGCCCUGGGGUCGGGCGGGGCGGAGUUCGCCGUGGCGCCUUUGGCAAGGCCUACUGCCUGUCAGACUCACUCUGUCGAGUGGCACUGCAGUCGGAGUGGCGCAGGCGGCGCUGUCCUUCUGUCAGACUGGCCAGUGGAGCGGUAGAGUGACGGCGGUCACCUCGGCUCUGCCGGGGGCGCGUGUCAGGAUAGAGGUGUCAGGCCACCUUUGCGUUAAAUGCCCCUGCAAUUUGGUCAGUCGGUGUGGUGAUUUAGUCAAGGUUGCUUCUGAGCGAAGCCAAGGCCUUGGGCGAGCCGGUGAUGUGUCCGCCAUAAAAAGGGGGCCUCGGGCGAGACGGAAGUCUCUCGAGGUCGGCUGCCUUUGGCCGAGGCUAGGCUCGGGUGAAGCGUGAUCGAGUCACUCGUGUGGACUGAUCCCUGACUUAAUCGUACCCAUCAGGCCUUUGCAGCUUUAUGCUGAUGGGGGUUACCAGCUGAGAAUUAGGCGCCUUGAGGGUACCCCUAAUUAUGGUCCCCGACAAGGUACGCUAACAAAUGGUAACGGAGCUCAGGCCCGCCUGUUUAGGGGAUGGAAUGUCACGAACUAUGUGUAGCCUGGGUUAGUACCACCUCUCUUGCGGGAGUGGGCCGUGGUCGGCUUAUAAGGGCGUGCUUCAUUCCUCUCUCAACCCGGGUUUUGAGAUGUGAGUGUGGAGCUCGCUGCUGAAGGCCGACCCACGAGCGCAUGAACGCCCGAACGCAUGUCGAGUGUGGGUUUUUCGGUGGACUGGUCCAGGUACGCUAACAAAUGGUAACAUAGCUCAGGCCCGCCUGUUUAGGGGAUGCAAUGUCACGAACUAUGUGUAGCCUGGGUUAGUACCACCUCGCUUGCGGGAGGGGGCCGUGGCCGGCUUAUAAGGGCGAGCUAAUUCCUCUCUCAACCCGGGUUUUGAGAUGUGAGUGUGGAGCUCGCUGCUGAAGGCCGACCCACGAGCGCAUAAACGCCUGAGACUGGCUCAGGUACGCUAACAAAUGGUAACGGAGCUCAGGCCCGCCUGUUUAGGGGAUGGAAUGUCACGAACUAUGUGUAGCCUGGGUUAGUACCACCUCGCUUGCGGGAGGGGGCCGUGGUCGGCUUAUAAGGGCGAGCUUCAUUCCUCUCUCAACCCGGG
rnacentral:lncRNA from 1 species